rnacentral:lncRNA from 1 species
CAGGAGUCUGGCAGAUGCGAUCCUAACAGUUCUGUGCUUUUUUCAAGCACACAGGGCUGCAGCUCUAGCAGAUUCUCAGGCAGGCUGUCACUUUAUCAGAAGCACGCCCACGAGGAGAGCAGGGAUCCUAUAAGUAGGGCCAUCAGAAAGAAAGAGUGAGCCAACAGAAGCUGCCUGUGGACAGGGAAGCUGCCACCGGGAAGCAGACAGAAGCCGCCACUUACCCCCAGCCAGAUAUGAUGAUGAUUCCCACCGGGAGCUGAACGCUCUCGCGCUUCUUCAAGAGAAACAAAGAAACUGCUAGAAGGCCUAGAAAGAAGAAAUCAAGAUUAUAAAAGAUGAUUCCUCUUGGCAUGGAAGCUGCAGCACUUCACUCUGUGAGAG